UGGAUCAUGACGUUUGUCGGUGUUACAGCCGACUGCGUUGAAAUACAACAAGCUGAAUCAACACACUUGCGGCUUGACCUAUUGUUGUAAUUUAAAUUCAAUAGGAACGCAUUCAAGUUGAACGAGCUUACCAUAAACGUGUCUCUGCACACAAAGUGAUUAUUAAACUCAAAUCAAGUAGGACUACCCGCUGAACUUAA
rnacentral:misc_RNA from 1 species